UGUGUACUUUGAAAUAAGUCUCAAGAUGAAUCUCAUGUGCACCGAAGUUUGAGGAUUAUUGUUUUAUCCCUUUUCUCCUUAGCUCGGACCCCUCUUGGUAAUAGAACAACGCUAUAAGCACAGUCUCAGAUUUGUGUGAUGUUUUCUAAUUCACAAGGCUUUUUUCACACAUUGGUCUAAUUUAAUACUAACGUGAUGGGGCUGAUUUAACAACAGCCCUCUGAUUUGGAUCCCUUUCCCAUUCACUUUUCAGAUGAGGAGACAGGAAUGAGAGUCUUUGGAUCACAUGACAAGUUCCCGGCAAAGCCUGUGUUCAUCCCAAGUUUUGUGAUUCCAGGUGCUUAAUUCAGCUCUGAAGUGAUGGCUGAAUGACCGCUUUAAUCACCAUGGUACCCCAACCUCCCACAGGUGAGUAUCAAAGCCAGUAAUUCCCUAUUUUGGUUCAAUAAUAAUACCCAAGAUGAUCUCUUUGAUUACAUGGUAGUGAGGAGGUCAUGAGAUUUUCAAACAGUUCUCCCC
rnacentral:lncRNA from 1 species